rnacentral:rRNA from 1 species
GACGAACGCUGGCGGCGUGCUUAACACAUGCAAGUCGAACGGGCCUGUCUUCUUUUUUGGGGGGUGGGUUGAGUGGCGAACGGGUGAGUAUCACGUGAGUAACCUGCCCUUCGGUCCUGGAUAACCGCUUGAAAGGGCGGCUAAUACGGGGUGGUCCGGUUGGUCCGCAUGGGCUGGUCGGGAUAGAUUCACUGUUUUUGGUGUUUCGGCGGGGGAUGGGCUCGCGGCCUAUCAGCUUGUUGGUGGGGCGAUGGCCUACCAAGGCGGUGACGGGUAGCCGGCCUGAGAGGGUGGGCGGCCACACUGGGACUGAGAUACGGCCCAGACUCCUGCGGGAGGCAGCAGUGGGGGGUAUUGCACAAUGGGCGGAAGCCUGAUGCAGCGACGUCGCGUGAGGGAUGGAGGCCUUCGGGUUGUGAACCUCUGUUUCCGGUGGUGAAGGCCCUGUCCGUGUGGUGGGGUUGACGGUAGCCGGGGAUGAAGCGCCGGCUAACUACGUG